AAUCCCCAGUCGGUCAAUUCACGACUCCUCCGAUGUUACGCGUGAACGAUGCGGUUCAAGCGACAUACAAAAAGAGCACACAGCUGCUGCUCCUGCUCCUGCUCCUGCUCCACUGCCUACCGUUCACCUCCGCUCCUACUCCAGUCCUAAACCCCAAUUGAAUGAAACAGAGAACAUGGCCGUCCAAAUCGGACGGUCAACCUCGUUUCACCGCUUUCCCUUUCGCCAAAAAACAGACUCGUCCCACCAAAAAUCGCUCCAUUUUUCAUUUCCAAGUCAGUCCAAGUUCAUCAUCAUCGUCCAAGCCUAAUCAAUACCAUCACGACUUUUCUCAACUUCCAUACGAUGUUCUCUUGAAAAUUGCGGCCAAUUUUACGCUGCCGAACUUACGUGCAUCUUCACUAGUGUGCAAAUCUUGGUGUGAUGCACUUCGACCUUUAAGAGAAGCUAUGCUUUUUCUGAGAUGGGGCAAGAGAUUUAAGCAUGGCCGUGGAGGGGUUAAACCCAACUUAACUAAAGCGCUUGAUUCUUUCCUUAAAGGCGCCGCGCGUGGGUCCACACUAGCUAUGGUCGAUGCUGGCUUGGUUUAUUGGGAGAUGGGGAGAAGAGAAGAAGGGAUUGCUUUGUAUAGAAAGGCUGCUGAACUUGGUGACCCUGCUGCUCAAUGCAAUUUGGGGAUUUCCCUCUUACAAGAUAAUCCUUCGGAUCAUGAGGAAGCUGUUAAAUGGCUGUUUAAAGCCUCCGUUGCUGGCCAUGUUCGAGCUCAAUACCAACUAGCACUUUCUUUACAUAAAGGUCAUGGCCUGAAUAGUAAUCUCCAGGAACCGAUUAUUGGAGAAGUGAUUGCUGAUCCUAUCCAGACUUGAAGAAUUCGCAAAAGUUUUAUCUUCAAAUGAAAGGGGGUGGUUUGAAUUUGGAUAGGGAUGUUAAAUUCAAAAGUUAAGUGCACCAUUAUGGCACGCGAAGUGGUAUUUGAGGGCAGCAGAAGGUGGAUAUGUCCGUGCUAUGUAUAACACUGCAUUAUGCUACUCGGUUGGAGAAGGUUUA